GGUAAUAAGUUUUGAUAUAUGGUAUAGAUAGGUAAAAAUCCCUAUAGUUAAGCCCAAUAAUUUGAAGAAAACAUACUGACUUUAUAACAACGUUUGAAAAUAUGGUCAUAUUGAAAUAACAAAGGUAAUUGAUCUAAAACAAAAAGGAAACAUAACUAAUUUAAUCAACUGAUUCAACUAUAAGGAUGGAAUCAUGGAAACCAUCCUCUACGUGAUCUUGCUCAACUCCAAAUCUAAAUCGAGAGUAUAGAAUCCAGAAUACCAACAAAUAUGAUAACAAUUGAUUUUGAAGAUUCUUCUCCAACUUCCCCCCUUCUUCUAAACCACGUUAGUGUUGCUUUGAAAGAACUAAAUCAGCAUACCCGUUUAUUGCACUUAAAGAUGUAACCAUCUCCAACAUCCAACCUUCAAUGAAAAAGUUGAUAAUGUAACACAACUUAUCUGAGAUAUUUCAACUUCUUGAAAACAGUUAAUAGACAUUUUUUCUCAUAUAAUACAGGUGUAAAAUCCUGCAAUAACAUUCAUCCAUAUGGAGUCGCGGCGUAAUCUACACAACAUUAGAAGGUGAAACAACAAGUCUCACGAUUAUUGGCACUCUUGAUGAAUAAACUGACCUAUAUAAACAAUUCACAAAGUAAUUCACAGAGAUUUUCUUCUUUAUUAAUAUGAAUUGGAUGCAACAUGACCACUUUAAUAAUUAUAAUAAAGACAUUAAAUCCAGAUUCAAUUCUCAAAGGUAAGGCCACAAACCAUAACUUUUCCGCCAUAAUAGAACAAUCUGCAAGGUAUUUUCUGGCCUUGUACUCUCUCCAUACUUCUUGUGCGUAAACUGACGACUCAGUGAACACGUCUUCUCCAAGAAUGAAACUCUAUAACUUCUAUAAGUUUGGCAAGUCAGAAUAAUGAAGUGUAAUUACUUGAGUUCAUAGUCAUUACAAAUUAUUUGCAAUGACUUCCAUCUACCUAUCCAUCCUUCUUUCCAUCUUCUGUCGACAUAUACUUAGAUCAAAGAUAGAAGUAAAAAGGCAAGUGAAAAGUAACUUGAUAAACACAAAAUAAGACAGUUGAAUUUGAAACUUGAAAACCGAAACUUAUGACCAUUCAGAAUAUCAAUGAGCACUUGCAUGGUAAAACUCGAUAAGUAAAUCUCUGUUGGCAAAAGGAAAUUGCAUGCAAUAGAAAAAAGUGCAUAAAUGGAAAUUAGAGAAAGUCACAUAUAAAAGAACCAAGUGUAAGAGAAAAAAAAACUCCUUGAAUGGUUAUUCCCAAACUAAAAGUUGCAAAUUCCAUAUAAGAAAUUUGCUAUUUUUUUUUUUGUGUAAUUCGAAAAACAUAGUUAGUCCUUUCUACAACUUCUCUUUGUCAUAAAACUUCUCUUUCUCAACAUAGUUCGUACUAAUUUAAUAUGUCAAUAUAUAGAGGACCAACGUAUAUUCAACAACAUAUUUCGAACAGUAAUUUUGUCACUUAUGUUGAUAUUAGUUUAUAUGCAAGCUCAAUAACAUAUUCACACCUUUUAUCUACAUCUCUAACCAGCAGUCCUAAACCAACCUGAAGCCUAAAGUCAAUAGAUACUCUUCUUAUUAUUCAACGUAAAAGAGACACAUAUAACCCUCUUCAUUUCAACAGGGGGGAAGAAUAAUGAAAAUAAAUGAGAUAAAGCAUUACCUCCGUCUUUGAUGCACAAAAUGUCCACUUCAGGUGUUCAACAUAUGAUCCCUUACAUUACCCCUGCAACAUCUGAUGAAAGAAUCAUCUUUCAGGCUGCUCUGUAGGUACUUGUUUGUGCCCUUUCUUGUGAUCUGUAAAAGUCUCUAUUGUAUUGCACGAUUCAUUAACUUCAUGCAUUUUGAUCCUUCUUUUUGUCUCCAACAAAUCAGAACGUCUUCACUAUUCCCUCCUUCCCUCCCUAGAAUGGAUCAAUGGAUAUCCCUUUCUCAUAUUGGAGUUAUACAUUCUGUAUGCCUGAAACUAUACAGUUGAACAGAAUCAAGCUUGAACUGGAAAAAGUAAUGCUCAAUGUCUCAAACCAUAGAGAACUUAAAACUCAAAUUUAGAAAUUUGACUAUUAGACCGGUGAAGCCAACAGAGAAGAAUAAACUAAGGAUGAGGAUACUGAAAACUGAUCUAUCUAAGAUUUGGCGCAGGUUCUAGCUUCUGAAAAGGUAGAUCAGUAUAAAUGAAUAAGGAGACACGUAUUAUAAUGCAUAAUAUAUGUGUCUUUAUGAUAAUGAAUGAUUUGUUUCUACAUUUAUCUCGAUAUUAAGUUUCCUCAAAUUGCCAAACAGAAACUCAAUCUAGUAAAAUCACCUAUGUAGUACCAAAAUUCAAGAAAAUUAAUUUUGGGUGUAAAAGAAAUUGAAAUUAUGAGUUUUAAAUGAGGAAGAUUUAUAAGUUAUAGUUAUCAGGAGCAUCAAUUGACCAUAUCUCAAAUUUCAUUCAGAUUUAUAUGCAGUGUUUCAGUUGUAAGAUGCCCCCUUGGGUUGAGUUUUUUAUAAACUUUCUUGACAAAUACACACACACACACACACACACACAUAUAUAUAGUCCUUGGAGUGAACAAACAUGGGCAGAACACCUUGUAGUGUAUUAGCGCUGGUGGAAGAAUACUUCUGUUUAGUUCUUUCGGUCCCUUUACAAAACUUAUUUGAUUACUGAUAGAGAUGGAAUGCCUGAAAAAUGUUGUCUAAUACAAACGAAUAUUUCCAAUAAAAAUAUAAUAUUCUAUAUGCUUGCAUGGAAGUCUGAAACAUGAAAUAGGAUGCAGGGAAUAGUACAAUCAUGGUGCACAAGUUACAAAAUUUCAGUAUGUAUCAGUCAAGCAUAUUUACAGGAAAAUCACUAUGAGUUAUAACACCAAACAAAAAUAUAGAAUAGCUAUAUUAUCAGCGUACCUAUUUACAUGUUCCCACAUGUCCAACUCCAUAUUGUCAAUAUUUUUUCUUCUCUGUUUCUUCUUCUUUUAGGUUGAUGUAUUCAAAUUGCCAAUGCUUAAAAAAAGCUCUUCCGUUAUCACUUGCCAUCCAUGAGCAAGAGAUGUCAGUGAGGAUUCCUGAAAACAAAUAUCAAACAUCUUAUGAAUGAACUAAAAGGAUAAUUUCUCAAUUCAGCUUUUAGUAUAUCAUAUUGAUUCCCUGAUUAACUGUCACUUGCAAGGAAGAGAGUUGUUUACAAUAUUUUACUACAGUCAAUUAUCUCAACUUUUAGACACAUAUUUUUCAUUUUCUUUCCCUCCUACUUUCUAUAUAAGAAUAGUCCUUUUCUUCUCUCCCAUUUUUAUGGGAGGAGAGGGGCAAAAGUAGUGCAGCAUAGUUCCAUUUCAAUAUUGAGAUGAACAUUGGAUCCAAGAAAUACAGUGGACUUUAAACUACCAGCAACGACAAAGGAACAGAGAAACAAUAUUUCAAGUCCAGGUAACUUCGAUAAAGAUGGAAAACCAAAGCAGAAUGAUAUUAAGGAGGUGAAGCACAAGAUAAACCAGCAAGCAUAAUCUCUAAAUUGUCCCUAUUUUCUGAUGAACUUGCAGCCAAAGAUGUAGUAAAUUAUAUCUCAAAUCAAGAAGGAAUUGUUGUCUUCUAAAGCAGCACACACUAUGAACUAUCAUAUUAGAUCAACUGUAACAAGAAUCAGUCAAUAAAAGUAUUUUGAAAUCAUUUAAGUUGUACCUCUGUUGAAGUACGUCUAACGUCAUUAUUUUCCUUCUAGGGGUUGACUAUAUCUUGUUGCUUUAGUUGAAAAUACAGUAAUUUUGAAAAAAACAAUUGACAUUCUCUUAAUAAAAUUAGUACUUUGGAAAAGAAUCAUCUUGUUACUCUUAAUAGAAAAUUUGCUCUUAACAGUUAACUUCCCAACUCUAAAAAAAUUUCAAAGGACAAAUCCAUCUUUUUUUUCAAAUGAAUUUAAGACCUAUUUUGGCCUCUAAGAAACCAUUUUGCAAUCCACAGUUCUAUAAUUCUACCUCAUAGUUAACAUAAUGUUUCAUUAACUGAUGUAGUAACAGGGUAUCUGGCACCGAUGUUUUCAAUGCCUUUUAUAGCCACAUACUCCCUUUGGAACAACUACAGUAUAUACCUUCUCCGUCAAUGUUUUUUAUUGCUCCAUAUGGAUACCAUGCACCAUUAGAUACUGGAAAAAAAAGAAUAUUUAAUCGUCAAGUUUCUUCAGCAGGUUUUGGUUAAUAAAAUAAAUUUGUAUUAUAUAGUGAUCCCUUUCUCUUAUUUUUUUCUCCUCUUUUAUCUCCUUAAUCCUCUUAAUCUCUAACUUAUCAAAAGAUCCUCUUUGUCUCUAUGCAUCAACUGGCUGUUACAGUACACAUCUACAAAUUUGUUAUAUAUUUUUUUUAAAUGUCAUCUNNNNN
rnacentral:lncRNA from 1 species